UACGGGGGGGGCAAGCGUUGUUCGGAAUUACUGGGCGUAAAGGGCGCGUAGGCGGUUGGAUAAGUCAGCUGUGAAAGCCACGGGCUUAACUCGUGGCCUGCAGUUGAGACUGUCUGGCUUGAGUGUGGGAGAGGAGAGUGGAAUUCCUGGUGUAGCGGUGAAAUGCGUAGAUAUCAGGAGGAACACCGGUGGCGAAGGCGGCUCUCUGGACCACAACUGACGCUGAGGCGCGAAAGCUAGGGGAGCAAACAGG
rnacentral:rRNA from 1 species